rnacentral:snoRNA from 1 species
CCCUGUAUCGAAAGUGAUCAUGGCGUCCUGGUCGUCAGGUCAUUGAUAGUACAGGAAGAUCAAACCUGAGAGCCUUUCCCGUGUUUGAAGGAUCCUCCGUUCCUAUCAGACCCUGAUGCUCUCACACA